UACCAGCACCCCGAGUGGUCGGGACGUUUAUUGGGCCUAAAGCAUCCGUAGCCGGUUCUACAAGUCUUCCGUUAAAUCCACCUGCUUAACAGAUGGGCUGCGGAAGAUACUAUAGAGCUAGGAGGCGGGAGAGGCAAGCGGUACUCGAUGGGUAGGGGUAAAAUCCGUUGAUCCAUUGAAGAACACCGGUGGCGAAGGCGGUCGACUGGGCCAGUACUGACGCUGAGGCGCGACAGCGUGGGGAGCAAACAGG
rnacentral:rRNA from 1 species